GUUAAGGUGGUUCGUUUUUCAUACUAAUGUAUUUAUCCAAUUAUGGGCGAAUGGAGCAUGGUUUUACAAUGAAACCACUUCCAUUAAUAUUCAAUUUGAUAUUUGUUUGCGGGAAAUUAUGUUUUUGUAAUAAAAACAUUUGAAUAAUAGCUUAACUGAGAACGAUAUUUUAGUUAAAAUUUGUCAAUGUGUGAGUGAACGGUGACAGCGUCGUACACUAAGCGUAUGUUCAGUGUGUGCGUUGAAAGGCUACGUUGCGAGCUGGCCGAAAAUGCGACGAUGCCGCUCUUCACUCCGCACGGGCUCAAGCGCGCAACGAGGCGUUUGUGUAAAUUGAUAAAUUUCAUUUUUCAUUUCACCAAACGUCACUGUCAUUUUGAUUGACCGGCACGCGGCACCGGCAGUUUGGCAAAGAGCAUAUAAUCACUACGUUCUUGGCAGUUUGGCGGCAGUCUUGUUGUUUCUUGUUUCGCUAGUUUGAUUCUAAUAGUGAACUUUAUCGAGAGAAUGCCACAAACAUCCCGAAAAGAUUAUAAAAACCAUCAAUACUCAGGCCCGAGAAAGAGUCGGAAACGCAGCCAUGGGCAAAUGAAACGAUAUCACGGACAAAUCAAAAGAUCCAGGACCAACUGCGGGUGACACAAAUGAUGAAAUGUCACUUCAUUUGUUACAUUUCCCCAAGUUAUGGCAUUACAGUUUUGGAAGUAGAGCGCGAUGAAACUUUUAUAGAAAAGAUGUUGCCAAAACUGGUAAACUUUUAUAAAAAUUGUAUAUUGCCCGAGAUUGUACUGCGAAGAACAAGGAAAAAUCUAAAAUGUAUAGAUGUUUCUUUGUAGUAAAUGUAAAUAAAAGGCAUUUGACAGUGUUCCCCGUGAAGCCCUGUGGAUGAUGUUGGCAAAGUUAGGAUGCACAGAUAAAUUCAUACGCCUCGUGAGACUCUUGCAUGAUGACAUGGAAUGCUGCGUCGCUGUAGGUGUCGGUGUAGAUCUGGACGACAAGAGGGAUGAGCUGAAAGCCCGACCACCAGCGGUGAUCAGCUAUAAUUAUAUUGAUGGUGUCCUCUCGUGCCCGUUGUGCGCACGGGUCUUUGCCAACAAGAUCGGCUACGUCAGCCACACGAGAGCACAUGAACGCCAAAAAAGGAGUUGAAGCAGUCGCCGUGGCCGAAAACGGUCGGGAGCAUAUAUAUAAAUAAAAAAACUGUUGUUAUAUUGAAAAAUAAACUAUCUUUAUCUAAA